GCUGGGCAUGGUAGUGCAUGCCUGUAAUCCCAGUGACCUGGGAGGCUGAGGCAAGAGGAUUCCAAGUUCCAGGCCAGCCACAAAACUGGGUGCUUUUAGUAUCCU
rnacentral:sRNA from 1 species